GCCAGUAUAUAUCUUUCCAGAUCUUUGUUUAAACUCAGCUCAUUUGGUCUUUUCUCUUCAAGUCACUGUCUCUGGCAUGGCCUCAUAUAAGUCUGUAUAGAUGCUCCAGGAUGAGAGCUGACUUCUUCCUUCUGAGCUGUGCCAGGACCCCUUGGAUGGGCCAUGGACUCAACGAGUGGAGGGUGGUUGGCACCAUGAAGAACUGAGAGGAAAACACCUUAUUUCCAUCCUAUGGGUCAUCUUUGAUCUUGCUGUAAGUUCUUCUAGGAAUGAAUGGAGCACAGAUAUACCUAACUUGUAAGUGUAAGUCCUGCUCACUCAGAACUUGAGGACAGGCUGAUUCAUGAUUAGACAACUCAGCAAAGCAUCUGUCAACUAUUAGACAACUAUCAAAGCUCUGAUAGAAUUUAAAAAAAAAGAAAAAGAAAAGAAAAGAAAAGAAAAGAAAAAAUAUCUGCUCCUUCCUUAGAAAAAGCACUGGUCUCCUAUGUGGUUCUAAGUGGCUCAGCCUCCCUCCUGGCAGGUAAAGGAUGCUGAGAAAAGAGUUUAGGGAUUCUAGUCAGGGAUCUCCCACCUGACGAUGAACCGAUAAGGAGGUGCUUGCCAGACCCUUCCUUUUGAUAAUAUAGAAUUUAAAAGUAGAUCAGCUAUAGUAGCUAGAGGUUCAUACAUGAAUUCUCAAAAAUUGGUCCUGACAAAGUACCAAGUCACAGGGAAGCGGACACCUCCAGAGGUGACUGGGUUUGCACUACGAGGUCCCUAGUUUGUAUGCUGCGUAAGACAGAUGCAGAGGGGUGUCCUUGUGGAGAGGUGGGGGCACAUGGCGAGCUCCAAACCAGUGUAAAAGGUGUAUGUCAGGUGGUUAUGAGCUUCCUGAAAGGGUCCUCAGAUUCACAUUUUCAGUUACCUUCUAUCAUGCUCUUGGAUUAUAUUUUAUCGCAGAAAGUUAAUUUUUAUCCAGAUCUUGGGAAGAUGACUGUGGAAGGCAAGGCACUCUAAGAUUUCAGUAAGAUAACAGAGCAUCAGUUCAUAGGGCCUUCCUACGGCCUCAGCACAGCUGUUCUGAAGCUAUUACUUAGGGACACGGAGAGCCCUGAUAUUUCCAUGAGAACAAUGGGUUUAGAUUAAUCCUUGGUGGCCUCUGAAUCCAUCUGUUCUCACUAUCCCAAGAAGUUGCGUUUCUAGUGCAGCUUCCAGACUGGCCUAACAAAUUAAAUUUCAAUACUCAGGCUAGAUUUCAAUCAGACAACACAGGUGCCACCAACAGAUGUUUGCUGACCAGAUUUCUCAAAAAAGGAACAACCUUUGCAUAGUGUCAUCUCCUUUGUACCUGUCCAGAGUGUUGAUUGUGUCAAGGAAACUUUUUAAAAAGGCUUUACAAAACGUUUUUUUUUCUCACCAUGAUGGUCAGUGUCAGCUAGACAUGCCUCAAAGCACAAUGCAUGUUUUGAUUUAGGAUAUUAACAAAAAAAGAAAUUCUCAAGUCCAAGUGAGUCGUCCGUGUUUGGUAAAGGUGGAUUCAGCUGUGGAAUCAUCUAGAAUUUCUGCCAGAAAAUCAUCUCCGCUGAAAUUCCUGAAGGCUCCAAAGUAAAAGGAAAAGGUUGUUUUUAAGAGAUACCUUAAAUGCAUUGCAAAGGAGAAUUUACCUAUUUUGAAUCUCUGGAAAUAGAGAAUUUGAGGAUUUCUUUCCGUUUUUUGUCUGUUCCUCAUAGAUUUUAACGAAAUCGGAGUUCCAUGUGUCUCUUAAGAUGGAUUUGCUAUUUGGAAGUGAGGUAGAAAUAGCAGCAAGUGGGGAGUCCACUCUCAAGGGGUCCCAGGUCUCCAAGGGUUAGAGAACCAGGCUUAGAACUCAGAACUUAAGAGAAGUUUGGGGUGUUUAGAUCCUAGGACUGUCAUUAGUAUUAUUUUAGGAAAGUUAUGGAUUAUUUUGUGGAUGGAUCUAGGUUCUCAAUACCAUUUAAGAUGUUUGUUUCCAUGAGAAAAUAUACCCCAAAUUCCAAGCCAACUGAUGGAAUAUAAUCUGUUAGUAAAUAAAGUAUACAAAAUAUAUUACUAUAUGAAAAGUGGUAGGUAGGAACAUAUGUAAUUCUAUACCUUCAUAUGUAAUUAUAUGCCAUAUGCUCACUUCUCAGUUCUUCAUUACAGUUAGCCUUGUUUGUGAUAUGAAAGGUAGCUACAGCCCCUUUAUCAUUUGGCAUCUCGUCAAAUCCAUUAACACUUAUUCAGAGCCCAUGCACUGAUGUUAGCAUCAGCCUGUGGUGUGCACGGUGCUGUGCCAGGUGCUGGCAGCAGUGAACUCAGGAGAGCUGGUCUGCCCUUCUAGCAUUCAAAUUCUUAUAGAUGACAGUUAGAGACUUAGAUGAUAUCUUGGCCCUCAUUUUCUGUGUGACCCUGGUAAGAGUCAUUUAAUGUUUCUUGCUCUGUCAAAUGGAGAAUGCUGUUUGUCACUCAUUUGAUUGAAUUGCCCAUGUUUAUUUCUAAGCAAAAAUGUGAUUCUAGCAAAGAGGCAUAUAACUAUUUAUUUUAUGUUUUAUUUCAAUGCCUCUUUUACUAAAGAUCUAUUACCUGGAAAUAAACAAUCAUUAUAAUAUAUGAGUAUACAAUGUAUGCUUCCUAUGAUACGGAAAGUGAUACACAUUAUUCAGUGCCUAACUCCAUCAUGUUGCCAAAAAUGCUUAUUAAUGGAACUGGUUAAUAGAUUUUUAUUAAAUGAAUUUAUUUUUGAGAGAGAGAGUAUGUGCACAUGUGAGCAUGAGUAGGGAAGGGGCAGAAGGAGAGAAAGAGAAUCUUAAGCAGGCUCUUCACCCAGCAUGGAGCCUAUCAUGGGGCUCAACCUCAUGAACUGUGAGAUCAUGACCUGAGCUGAAAUCAAGAGUCAGAUGCUUAACCGACUGAGCCACCUGGGCGCCCUAAAUGUAAUUUUUUAAAGCAUGCAAUCCCCAAAUGAUCUAAGUUGUCUUACUAUUGAUUACAAAUUAUAUAUUUAAAAAUUUAACUUUUUUCUACUGGAAUUAUAUGAGAUGAUUGACUUAUGACCCAAAUUUUAUCCCAAAUUAGCAUACAUGCUGUAAGAAAUGUAGGAGACCCCUCAGGUGGCCUUGGGGAGGGAGCCCGGAUGUUCUCCACGGAUCAGAACAGGAUUGCCAAGCUCAGAUCUCCUGGCACAGGGCCUUGCAUCUCAACAACCUCAUUUCCUUACAAUGGACACAAAAGAGGGUAAAAGGGGAGAUGGGGCUUGGCCUUUCCCUGAAGUGGUUAGGUCCCAGCAAGAGUUUCCCUUAGGGAGUUUGGGUCUUUGUUUAUUGAACUAUUGUCACUGCAUCCUCCUCACCUCAACCCUCUGGCCUUCCUGAGCAUUUGACUGUCAAGUGCCUGAGUGAGUUGUCCUGCCUGGCCUGUCCCCAUGUUUUAUGGGGAGAGAGGACAUUCACAUGAAAAUAACAGGCUCUCUGGAAAGAGUCUCAAAUGCUUGAUGGAAAUGUUAUCGAUGUGGCAGUGAUAGUACAGUCUUGUGAAUAUACUCAAAGACACUGAACUGUACAUUUUAAAAGGGUGAGUUUAUGGUAUGUGAAUUAUACCUCAACUUAAGAACAUACCUGGCAGACAAAUUUAAGGAUUCAGAGGAAGGGAGUUCCUCAGGCUGUCAGGGAUCUCAUGGAGGUGUUGGUCCUUCAGCAAGGCCUUGAAAGCAAGGAGGAACUCAGAGGAGAGUCAGGAAGAGCAGACUGCAGAUCGGGAGGGUGGGAAGAGCAUGGGUCCUGCCAGAAGAUGAGACCAGGAGGUCAGAGGAAAGCACAAGAAGAAAGGGACAGAAGGAUGGAAAUCCUAAUUGGGGCCAGAAUAUAGAGGCUUUGAUGUUGGCUCAAGCAGCAUAGGGCAAGAAAAAGCCUUUGACAGUCUCGUGUCUGGGAUCUGAUAUGUACGUAGCACGGUUGGAGAUGAUCAAUUUGCCUGGGUCACAUGGGAUGGAUGGGCAUAGGAAAAGAUUUGGGAGGGACCUCUUGGCAGACAUCAUAAUAUCCUGGGGAAAAUAAUGAGAUAGCAAUCAAGUAGAAAAGAAUGACAGAUUUGAUGGAUAUUAUAAAGCGACAGUAGACAGGACUGGACACCUGACUAGAUAUGGAGGGUAAUCAAGAGUCAAGGACCACUCCAGAAUUUUCAGCCUAGGACCCUACUAGGGAAGCAGCAACUAAAAUAAGGACUGGUUUUGGGGAAAAGAUGUGGAAUUCAAUUUUAGGCAUUCUGAGUUUGGGGUGAUGAUGGGACAUCUAAGGGGACACUAAACUUACAGUAGCAUGGCACCACCUCAAAGACCACUCAUGUACAGGUAAGGAAACUAGGCUCAGAGGCUCCACCCACUGCCCAAGGGUUAGAGAGCUAGUUUUAGGCUGGCCAGAGCCAGAAUCCUGUGUGAAGCUCUUUCUCCCCCCAGGCAGCUGGUUCUGACGUGGGCUGGCACUUGGAAGGGAGGUGAUAUGGGAGACAGAGAGGUUGGAGUCCACCACGGAGGUAAGAGGAGAAGGUGUGGGAGUGGAAAAGUCUCUGGAGGGGAGGAGAGCAAGGAGAGAGAAGGGCAGAGGACCAAGUCUUGCCAUGUGUCCUCACUUCAGGGUGUGAGAAGGAAGCAGAGUACAAAGAGGUGUCACCUGGAACAACAGCAAUGUCACUGAGCCACAGGGUGGGAGUAUGGUGGCAACGCACAGAGGGCUUGCGUGAGAAGGAGCCUUAGGGGCCCUCCAACCGCAGCUUUCCUUCUCGGCCAGCACAGCUCCUGAUGCAGCUCCAUGACACCAGGUACUUCCGAGAUGUUGAAUUGGAUUUGGCCAUUGGACCUUGGAGGGUCCAUCUCAUGAAUGUGCCAUGAGGGAACGCUGGGGACGAAGGACAAGGAAGAGGAUUUUUUUUUUUUUUUUGUUAGAAGAAAAGUUUGAUGACUUAGAAAAAGCAAUCAAUGAAAAGAAAGAAAUAGAAGAUACAAGAGAGAAGGGGAUGGAUUCUAGAGAUCAUGGAAGAGCCUGGGUCAAGUCUAUUUAGCAAGUAGGAACUAUCUUUAAAGGGAAAGAAAAGUGGAUGAAGACAAAGCUUAUCUGGUGGAGGGGAGAAUGGAUGAGCUCAAGCUGGAGGGUCUCUUUUUCAACAAGGAGGAGCUAUCUUGUAACCAUGAAGUGACCCUGAGGAUGAAAGCCAGUGCUAAGAACGGCAGAACAGAAAGAGAGACAGAAGUCAGGACAUUGAUGACAUUAUGGAGGCACUACAAGACCCUGGAUUGCCUACCUCUGGACUUACUUUGCAUGACAGAAAAAGACAUUUCUUUGUCUAAGCCAUUGUCAUUUGGGGAUUUGUUACCAGUAGCCAAACACAAUUCUUAUCUGGCAAGGCUGGAGGCUGGUGUGUAUAUGUGUUAGAAGGUGGAACACAGAACAAGUGCAUUAGGAGAUAUUAAGUUCUACAUUACUCUGAAGUCAUUUGUGAAUUGAAAAAAGUGGAGAAUCACAAUGUAGAUACUAAUCUAGACACGUGUGAUCAGAAAACCCAUUAUUCUCCAUAUGAGUGCCUACACUGUGCAAACUCACUGAAUGCAAAUUGACCCGAUUCUUCUCUAUACCUUGUCGACCUUGACAAUAUCUAUCUUAUAAAGACUGAGGUUUACAUUUGA